GCAUCAUCCAUCCUACCAUUC
rnacentral:miRNA from 1 species